rnacentral:antisense_RNA from 1 species
ACCAACCUCGUGGUGGCGCGGUGCAGAAAGUCCUGGCGCGAGUUGCGGACCUUUCGAUGGGCGCGCGCGACCUUCGCCUUCGCCUUGCGGCGAUUGCUGCCGCCACGCAGGCAACGGGCCAGUCUGCGCUGGUAACGCGCAAGGUUUCGAGCUCUGCGGGCGACGCGCUGCGGGUUGGCGAGCCGCUCGCCGUCACUGGUGACCAGGAAGUCCUUCAGACCGAGAUCCACUCCAAUCGCAUGCCCAGUGGAUUCAGCACGAACAUCCUGAUCAGCAUCAACAGCAAACGUCACAAACCAACGACCGUCCUGCUCGCGAGACACAACUACCAUCGUCGGGUUGAGCGCGGCUACGUUCACCUCGCCGAACGACCACACGAACCGCAGUGCAGCGCUCAUCUUCGCCACUGUGAGCACACCGUCACGCAUCCGGAACGCCGACCGCGUGUAGUGAGCACUCUGCCGACCGGCACGGGACUUGAACCUGGGAUGGCGAGUUCGCCCGGCGAAGAAGUUCUGGAACGCCGCGUGCUGAUGGCGCAGUGCCUGCUGCAACGGCACGCACGACACUUCCGACAGGAACGCGAGCUCCUCGG